GCUGGUGUAGCUCAGUUGGUAGAGCAGCUGAUUCGUAAUCAGCAGGUCGCCGGUU
rnacentral:tRNA from 1 species